rnacentral:rRNA from 1 species
AUUGAACGCUGGCGGCAGGCUUAACACAGAAUGAAGGUAAGGGUGGCGGACGGGUGAGUAACGCGUAAAGAACUUGCCUCACAGAUAGGGACAACAUUUGGAAACGAAUGCUAAUACCUGAUACUGUGAGAGAGCUUUGCGUCCCAUUAGCUAGUUGGAGAGGUAACGGCUCACCAAGGCGAUGAUGGGUAGCCGGCCUGAGAGGGUGAUCGGCCACAAGGGGACUGAGACACGGCCCUUACUCCUACGGGAGGCAGCAGUGGGGAAUAUUGAACAAUGGACCAAAGUCUGAUCCAGCAAUUCUGUGUGCACGAUGAAGUUUUCGGAAUGUAAAGUGCUUUCAGUUGGGAAGCGGUACCAACAGAAGAAGUGACGGCUAAAUACGUGCCAGCAGCCGCGGUAAUAC